ACGCUGGCGGCGUGCCUAAUACAUGCAAGUCGAACGGCUUUUCUAUGGAAGCUUGCUUCCACUGAAAAGAUAGUGGCGAACGGGUGAGGUAACACGUGGGGUAACCUGCCCAUAAGAGGGGGGAUAACAUCCGGAAACGGGUGCUAAUACCGCAUAGUUUUCUUGAUCGCAUGAUCGGGAAAGGAAAGACGGCCUUUGUGCUGUCGCUUAUGGAUGGACCCGCGGCGUAUUAGUUAGUUGGUGAGGUAACGGCUCACCAAGACGAUGAUACGUAGCCGACCUGAGAGGGUGAUCGGCCACAUUGGGACUGAGACACGGCCCAAACUCCUACGGGAGGCGAGCAGUAGGGAAUCUUCCGCAAUGGACGAAAGUCUGACGGAGCAACGCCGCGUGAGUGAAAGAAGGUUUUCGGAUCGUAAAACUCUGUUGUCAGAGAAGAACAAGUUGGAGAGUAACUGCUCCAGCCUUGACGGUAUCUGACCAGAAAGCCACGGCUAACUACGUGCCAGCCGCCGC
rnacentral:rRNA from 1 species